rnacentral:rRNA from 1 species
CCUACGGGUGGCAGCAGUGGGGAAUAUUGCACAAUGGGGGAAACCCUGAUGCAGCGACGCCGCGUGAGUGAAGAAGUCCUUCGUUAUGUAAAGCCCUAUCAGCAGGGAAGAAAAUGACGGUACCUGAGUAACCAGCCCCGGCUCCCUCCGUGCCAGCAACCCCGGUAACACGUAGGGGGCAAGCGUUAUCCGGAUUUACUGGGUGUAAAGGGAGCGUAGACGGCAGUGCAAGUCUGGCGUGAAAGGCGGGGGCUCAACCCCCGGACUGCUCUGGAAACUGUGCGGCUGGAGUGCAGGAGAGGUAAGUGGAAUUCCUGGUGUAGCGGUGAAAUGCGUAGAUAUUAGGAGGAACACCAGUGGCGAAGGCGGCUUACUGGACUGUAACUGACGUUGAUGCUCGAAAGCGUGGGGAGCAAACAGGAUUAGAUACCCCAGUAGUC